GAUGAACGCUAGCUACAGGCUUAACACAUGCAAGUCGAGGGGUAACGAGAGGGAAGCUUGCUUUCCUUGUUGACGACCGGCGCACGGGUGAGUAACGCGUAUCCAACCUGCCCCCAACUAGGGAAUAACCUUGCGAAAGUAAGACUAAUACCCUAUAAUUUCCUCAGAUGUCAUCUGACGAGGAAUAAAGAUUUAUCGGUUGUGGAUGGGGAUGCGUCUGAUUAGCUUGUUGGCGGGGUAACGGCCCACCAAGGCGACGAUCAGUAGGGGUUCUGAGAGGAAGGUCCCCCACAUUGGAACGUGGACACGAGCCAAACUCCUACGGGAGGCAGCAGUGAGGAAGAUUGGUCAAUGGACGGAGGCCUGAACCAGCCAAGUAGCGUGCAGGAUGACGGCCCUAUGGGUUGUAAACUGCUUUUAUACAGGAAUAAAGUUAGCCACGUGUGGUUAUUUGUAGGUACUGUAUGAAUAAGGACCGGCUAAUUCCGUGCCAGCGGCCGCCGUAA
rnacentral:rRNA from 1 species